GAUGAACGCUAGCUACAGGCUUAACACAUGCAAGUCGCGGGGCAGCAUGGGGGUUGCUUGCAAUCCCCGAUGGCGACCGGCGCACGGGUGAGUAACGCGUAUCCAACUUGCCCUUCACCACGGGAUAACCCGGCGAAAGUCGGACUAAUACCGUAUGUUGUCCAUUGACGGCAUCCGAUUUGGACGAAAGGUUUGGCGGUGAGGGAUGGGGAUGCGUCCGAUUAGCUGGACGGCGGGGUGACGGCCCACCGUGGCGACGAUCGGUAGGGGUUCUGAGAGGAAGGUCCCCCACACUGGAACUGAGACACGGUCCAGACUCCUACGGGAGGCGGCAGUGAGGAAUAUUGGUCAAUGGGCGUAAGCCUGAACCAGCCAAGUAGCGUGCAGGAUGACGGCCCUAUGGGCUGUAAACUGCUUUUAUGCGGGGAUAAAGUGGCCCACGUGUGGGUUUUUGCAGGUACCGCAUGAAUAAGGACCGGCUAAUUCCGUG
rnacentral:rRNA from 1 species